AUUGAACGCUGGCGGCAGGCCUAACACAUGCAAGUCGGGCGAGCGGCGGACGGGUGAGUAAUGUAUGGGGAUCUGCCUGAUGGCGGGGGAUAACUACUGGAAACGGUAGCUAAUACCGCAUACCCUCAGCUGACCCCAUAUGGGAUUAGCUAGUAGGUAAGGUAACGGCUUACCUAGGCGACGAUCCCUAGCUGGUCUGAGAGGAUGAUCAGCCACACUGGGACUGAGACACGGACCAGACUCCUACGGGAGGCAGCAGGGGGGGAGAUUGCACAAUGGGCGAAAGCCUGAUGCAGCGACGCCGCGGGGGGGAGGAAGACGUUCGGGUUGGAAACCUCGGUCGCUAUCGAACGGGUAGGUGGAGAAGAAGCGCCGGCUAACUACGUGCCAGCAGCCGCGGUAAUAC
rnacentral:rRNA from 1 species